rnacentral:rRNA from 1 species
AUUGAACGCUGGCGGCAGGCUUAACACAUGCAAGUCGAACGAGUGGCGGACGGGUGAGUAAUGCUUGGGAAUCUAGCUUAUGGAGGGGGAUAACUACGGGAAACUGUAGCUAAUACCGCGUACCAUAGGAUGAGCCCAAUUGGAAUUAGGUAGUUGGUGAGGUAAAGGCUCACCAAGCCGACGAUCGCUAGCUGGACUGAGAGGAUGACCAUGCGUGCUGGUGCUGGGAUCCGACCAAGACUCGUACGGGGGGCAGCAGUGGGGAAUAUUGGGCAGUGGGGGCAACCUGACGCAGCCAUGCCGCGUGAAUGAAAAAGGCCUUCGGGUUGUAAAGUUUUUUCGGUAGAGAGACGUUAACUACAGAGGAAGCACCGGCUAACUCCGUGCAGGCAGCCGCGGUAAUAC